rnacentral:rRNA from 1 species
GACGAACGCUGGCGGCGUGCUUAACACAUGCCAGUCGAACGGAAAGGCCCUGCUUUUGUGGGGUGCUCGAGUGGCGAACGGGUGAGUAACAAGUGAGUAACCUGCCCUUGACUUUGGGAUAACUUCAGGAAACUGGGGCUAAUACCGGAUAGGAGCUCCUGCUGCAUGGUGGGGGUUGGAAAGUUUCGGCGGUUGGGGAUGGACUCGCGGCUUAUCAGCUUGUUGGUGGGGUAGUGGCUUACCAAGGCUUUGACGGGUAGCCGGCCUGGGAGGGUGACCGGCCACAUUGGGACUGAGAUACGGCCCAGACGCCUACGGGAGGCAGCAGUGGGGAAUAUUGCACAAUGGGCGGAAGCCUGAUGCAGCAACGCCGCGUGCGGGAUGACGGCCUUCGGGUUGUAAACCGCUUUCGCCUGUGACGAAGCGUGAGUGACGGUAAUGGGUAAAGAAGCACCGGCUAACUACGUG